CCUACGGGAGGCAGCAGUGGGGAAUCUUGCGCAAUGGGCGAAAGCCUGACGCAGCCAUGCCGCGUGAAUGAUGAAGGUCUUAGGAUUGUAAAAUUCUUUCACCGAGGACGAUAAUGACGGUACUCGGAGAAGAAGCCCCGGCUAACUUCGUGCCAGCAGCCGCGGUAAUACGAAGGGGGCUAGCGUUGCUCGGAAUUACUGGGCGUAAAGGGAGCGUAGGCGGAUAGUUUAGUCAGAGGUGAAAGCCCAGGGCUCAACCUUGGAAUUGCCUUUGAUACUGGCUAUCUUGAGUACGGAAGAGGUAUGUGGAACUCCGAGUGUAGAGGUGAAAUUCGUAGAUAUUCGGAAGAACACCAGUGGCGAAGGCGACAUACUGGUCCGUUACUGACGCUGAGGCUCGAAAGCGUGGGGAGCAAACAGGAUUAGAUACCCUGGUAGUCCACGCUGUAAACGAUGAGUGCUAGUUGUCGGCAUGCAUGCAUGUCGGUGACGCAGCUAACGCAUUAAGCACUCCGCCUGGGGAGUACGGUCGCAAGNUUAAAACUUAAAGGAAUUGACGG
rnacentral:rRNA from 1 species